rnacentral:rRNA from 1 species
GUAAAGCUCUGUUGUUGGUGAAGAAGGAUAGAGGCAGUAACUGGUCUUUAUUUGACGGUAAUCAACCAGAAAGUCACGGCUAACUACGUGCCAGCAGCCGCGGUAAUACGUAGGUGGCAAGCGUUGUCCGGAUUUAUUGGGCGUAAAGCGAGCGCAGGCGGAAUGAUAAGUCUGAUGUGAAAGCCCACGGCUCAACCGUGGAACUGCAUCGGAAACUGUCAUUCUUGAGUGCAGAAGAGGAGAGUGGAACUCCAUGUGUAGCGGUGGAAUGCGUAGAUAUAUGGAAGAACACCAGUGGCGAAGGCGGCUCUCUGGUCUGCAACUGACGCUGAGGCUCGAAAGCAUGGGUAGCGAACAGGAUUAGAUACCCUGGUAGUCCAUGCCGUAAACGAUGAGCGCUAGGUGUUGGGGACUUUCCGGUCCUCAGUGCCGCAGCAAACGCAUUAAGCGCUCCGCCUGGGGAGUACGACCGCAAGGUUGAAACUCAAAGGAAUUGACGGGGGCCCGCACAAGCGGUGGAGCAUGUGGUUUAAUUCGAAGCAACGCGAAGAACCUUACCAGGUCUUGACAUCCUGCGCUACACCUAGAGAUAGGUGGUUCCCUUCGGGGACGCAGAGACAGGUGGUGCAUGGCUGUCGU